rnacentral:rRNA from 1 species
AUGGCCAAUACCUUCCGCCACAUCUUCCUUAAAGCCGCUGAGGCCUUUUGCUGGUUGAUUGGCACAGUUUCCGGCAUGUUUCUCUUAGUGCUAGCACUGACCCUUUUUGCAUCCACUAGUUCCACUCCUUCAUCUCCUUCUUGCGCUCCCACUGCUAGUUCCACCUGCGAUGAAGAUGACUUGCAUCGACUCAUCGCAACUUGUGUGCGCUAUGUUGUUUGCGCUAUGGUCAUCACCGCAUUGUUGAUGGUCUUUGUUCGGAAGGUUGCGGACGGGGCAGCCAAGGACCACGAGCGGGUCGCCGCCUCGGAGGACGCAGCUUACAAGGCUGCUUACGAUGCCGCGGAGGUGGCCACUGUCGGGCGCGCCGAGAGGGCGGUCAAGGACCUCAACGACCCGCGUCGCGUCAAUCUUGCCCUGGGCGUUCUGGAGGCCGACCAGGUUUUGGCCAAAGCACGGAAGGAGCUGGAUGAGCGCGUCCAGGAGUAUAGGUGCGCCACCGAUAAGGUGGAACGCUUCGUGCCCAAGGAAGGUAUUGCUCGCCUCCCCAAAUGGUGGAGAAUUGCUGCGCGUUUAGCUUUCUUCUCGGCUGUUUGUGCACAUUACAUAGGUUCAGGCUACGCAGGAUUUGCAUUUUACUACUUCCUAGAGAUACAGACCAAGUGCACGACGAGCUUCCUGACAAUCUUUCUGUUCGUGCUCGCUGGAGUUGUAUCCACAACCAUUCAUGGUCUCUUACUCUGGGUAUCCUUGACCCAAAACUGA